UACGAAGGGGGCUAGCGUUGCUCGGAAUCACUGGGCGUAAAGCGCACGUAGGCGGAUGUGUCAGUCAGGGGUGAAAUCCCGGAGCUCAACUUCGGAACUGCCCUUGAUACAGCACGUCUUGAGUCCGGAAGAGGUGGGUGGAAUUCCUAGUGUAGAGGUGAAAUUCGUAGAUAUUCGCAAGAACACCAGUGGCGAAGGCGGCUCACUGGCCCGGUACUGACGCUGAGGUGCGAAAGCGUGGGGAGCAAACAGG
rnacentral:rRNA from 1 species